rnacentral:rRNA from 1 species
UUUAUGGAGAGUUUGAUCCUGGCUCAGGAUGAACGCUGGCGGCGUGCCUAAUACAUGCAAGUCGAGCGAACAGAUAAGGAGCUUGCUCCUUUGACGUUAGCGGCGGACGGGUGAGUAACACGUGGGUAACCUACCUAUAAGACUGGAAUAACUCCGGGAAACCGGGGCUAAUGCCGGAUAACAUGUUGAACCGCAUGGUUCUACAGUGAAAGACGGUCUUGCUGUCACUUAUAGAUGGACCCGCGCCG